GGAUAGCUGGAGGGGGACGCAGGAAGGUAGGUGAACCGGGGCGAUGGUUGUCCCCGGGUAAGCGUGUAGGAGGAUCCCGAUGAGAGUUGGGGUCAUUAACUCUGAGACGUGAUGCCGGGCCGAUUAAGGCGAAGUCACUGAUCCUAUGCUGCCAAGAAAAGCCCAACAGUGAGUUGGCACGGCACCCGUACCCCAAACCGACACAGGUGGGCGGGUAGAGAAUACCAAGGCGAUCGGGAGAACUAUGGUUAAGGAACUCGGCAAAUUGCAUCCGUAACUUCGGGAGAAGGAUGACCCUAUUAGGGUGAAGGGAUUUACUCCCAGAGCUCGAGAGGGUGGCACAGACCAGGGGGUAGCGACUGUUUACCAGAAACACAGCAGCGUGCCAAGCCGCAAGGCGCAGUAUACGCUGUGACGCCUGCCCAAUGCUGGAAGGUCACGGGGAACGGUUAGUCGUAAGGCGAAGCUGUGAACCUAAGCCCCAGUGAAUGGCGGCCGUAACUAUAACGGUCCUAAGGUAGCGAAAUUCCUUGUCGGGUAAGUUCCGACCUGCACGAAUGGCGUAACGACUUCCCCACUGUCUCAACCAUAGACCCGGCGAAAUUGAAGUACGAGUAAAGAUGCUCGUUAGCUGCGGAAGGACGAAAAGACCCCAUGGACCUUUACUAUAACUUGAUAUUGAGCUUUGUCCUGCAUUGUGUAGGAUAGGUGGGAGACUUGGAAGCGGUGGCGCCAGCUAUCGUGGAGUCAACGUUGAAAUACCACCCUGUGUAUGACGGGGCUCUAACCUGGGUCCAUUAUCUGGAUCAGGAACAGUGUCAGGCGGGUAGUUUGACUGGGGCGGUCGCCUCCUAAAAUGUAACGGAGGCGCCCAAAGGUUCCCUCAGGCUGGUUGGCAAUCAGCCGUCGAGUGCAAUGACACAAGGGAGCUUGACUGCGAGACUGACAGGUCAAGCAGGUGCGAAAGCAGGGCAUAGUGACCCGGCCAUCACGUGUGGAAGUGUGGUCGCUCAACGGAUAAAAGGUACCCUGGGGAUAACAGGCUAAUCUCCCCCAAGAGUCCAUAUCGACGGGGAGGUUUGGCACCUCGAUGUCGGCUCAUCGCAUCCUGGGGCUGAAGCAGGUCCCAAGGGUUGGGCUGUUCGCCCAUUAAAGCGGUACGCGAGCUGGGUUCAGAACGUCGUGAGACAGUUCGGUCUCUAUCCUCCGCAGCCGAAGGUGUGUUGAGCGACAGGCAAGUCUAGUACGAGGUGUGAUUAUCUUCAUCUUUGCCCCCCUAGAUCGGAAGAGCACACGUCUGAACUCCAGUCACAUCUCGUAUGCCGUCUUCU
rnacentral:rRNA from 1 species